rnacentral:rRNA from 1 species
CACUCCUACGGGAGGCAGCAGUGGGGAAUUUUGGACAAUGGGCGAAAGCCUGAUCCAGCAAUGCCGCGUGAGUGAAGAAGGCCUUCGGGUUGUAAAGCUCUUUUGUCAGGGAAGAAACGGUGAGAGCUAAUAUCUCUUGCUAAUGACGGUACCUGAAGAAUAAGCACCGGCUAACUACGUGCCAGCAGCCGCGGUAAUACGUAGGGUGCAAGCGUUAAUCGGAAUUACUGGGCGUAAAGCGUGCGCAGGCGGUUUUGUAAGUCUGAUGUGAAAUCCCCGGGCUCAACCUGGGAAUUGCAUUGGAGACUGCAAGGCUAGAAUCUGGCAGAGGGGGGUAGAAUUCCACGUGUAGCAGUGAAAUGCGUAGAUAUGUGGAGGAACACCGAUGGCGAAGGCAGCCCCCUGGGUCAAGAUUGACGCUCAUGCACGAAAGCGUGGGGAGCAAACAGGAUUAGAUACCCUAGUAGUCCCA